AAUCAACGCUGGCGGCGUGCCUCAGACAUGCAGGUCGAACGCGAAAGUCCCCUUCGGGGGAUGAUUAGAGUGGCGCACGGGUGAGUAACACGUAGGUAAUCUACCUUCGAGUGGGGAAUAACUCAGGGAAACUUGAGCUAAUACCGCAUAAUGCAGCGGCACCACAUGGUGACAGUUGUUAAAGCAUUUAUGCGCUUGAAGAGGAGCCUGCGGCGGAUAGCUAGUUGGUAAGGUAAUGGCUUACCAAGGCUACGAUCUGUAACCGGCCUGAGAGGGCGGACGGUCACACUGACACUGAAUAACGGGUCAGACUCCUACGGGAGGCAGCAGUCGGGAAUUUUGGGC
rnacentral:rRNA from 1 species